rnacentral:rRNA from 1 species
UGGAUUAGGCAUGCAAGUCGAACGAGCCUUCGGGCUAGUGGCGAACGGGUGAGUAACACGUGGGUAACCUGCCUCGUAGUGGGGAAUAACUCGCCGAAAGGCGAGCUAAUACCGCAUAACACCCUCGGUGAGAAUCCGAGAGGUAAAAGCUUUAUGCGCUAUGAGAGGGGCCCGCGGCCGAUUAGCUUGUUGGUGGGGUAACGGCCUACCAAGGCGACGAUCGGUAGCUGGUCUGAGAGGAUGGUCAGCCACACGGGGACUGAGAUACGGCCCCGACUCCUACGGGAGGCAGCAGCUAAGAAUCUUGCGCAAUGGGCGAAAGCCUGACGCAGCAAUUCCGCGUGGGGGACGAAGGCCCUCGGGUCGUAAACCCCUUUUGCGAGGGAAGAAGUUCUGACGGUACCUCGCGAAUAAGACACGGCUAACUACGUGCCAGCAGCCGCGGUA